CCUCGGGAGGCAGCAGUGGGGAAUCUUAGACAAUGGGCGCAAGCCUGAUCUAGCCAUGCCGCGUGAGUGAUGAAGGCCUUAGGGUCGUAAAGCUCUUUCGCCUGUGAUGAUAAUGACAGUAGCAGGUAAAGAAACCCCGGCUAACUCCGUGCCAGCAGCCGCGGUAAUACGGAGGGGGUUAGCGUUGUUCGGAAUUACUGGGCGUAAAGCGCACGUAGGCGGAUUGGAAAGUUGGGGGUGAAAUCCCGGGGCUCAACCCCGGAACUGCCUCCAAAACUAUCAGUCUAGAGUUCGAGAGAGGUGAGUGGAAUUCCAAGUGUAGAGGUGAAAUUCGUAGAUAUUUGGAGGAACACCAGUGGCGAAGGCGGCUCACUGGCUCGAUACUGACGCUGAGGUGCGAAAGUGUGGGGAGCAAACAGGAUUAGAUACCCUGGUAGUCCACACCGUAAACGAUGAAUGCCAGUCGUCGGGCAGUAUACUGUUCGGUGACACACCUAACGGAUUAAGCAUUCCGCCUGGGGAGUACGGUCGCAAGAUUAAAACUCAAAUGAAUUGACGG
rnacentral:rRNA from 1 species